UAUAAGACUGGGAUAACUUCGGGAAACCGGAGCUAAUACCGGAUAACAUUUGGAACCGCAUGGUUCUAAAGUGAAAGAUGGUUUUGCUAUCACUUAUAGAUGGACCCGCGCCGUAUUAGCUAGUUGGUAAGGUAACGGCUUACCAAGGCAACGAUACGUAGCCGACCUGAGAGGGUGAUCGGCCACACUGGAACUGAGACACGGUCCAGACUCCUACGGGAGGCAGCAGUAGGGAAUCUUCCGCAAUGGGCGAAAGCCUGACGGAGCAACGCCGCGUGAGUGAUGAAGGGUUUCGGCUCGUAAAACUCUGUUAUUAGGGAAGAACAAAUGUGUAAGUAACUGUGCACAUCUUGACGGUACCUAAUCAGAAAGCCACGGCUAACUACGUGCCAGCAGCCGCGGUAAUACGUAGGUGGCAAGCGUUAUCCGGAAUUAUUGGGCGUAAAGCGCGCGUAGGCGGUUUCUUAAGUCUGAUGUGAAAGCCCACGGCUCAACCGUGGAGGGUCAUUGGAAACUGGGAAACUUGAGUGCAGAAGAGGAAAGUGGAAUUCCAUGUGUAGCGGUGAAAUGCGCAGAGAUAUGGAGGAACACCAGUGGCGAAGGCGACUUUCUGGUCUGUAACUGACGCUGAUGUGCGAAAGCGUGGGGAUCAAACAGGAUUAGAUACCCUGGUAGUCCACGCCGUAAACGAUGAGUGCUAAGUGUUAGGGGGUUUCCGCCCCUUAGUGCUGCAGCUAACGCAUUAAGCACUCCGCCUGGGGAGUACGACCGCAAGGUUGAAACUCAAG
rnacentral:rRNA from 1 species